AAUAUUGCACAAUGGGGGAAACCCUGAUGCAGCGACGCCGCGUGAGCGAAGAAGGCAUUCGAGACGUAAAGCACUGUCCUAGGGGACGACUAUGACGGUACCCCACGAGGAAGCACUGGCUAUCUACGUGCCAUCAGCCGCGGUAAGACGUAGGGGGCGAGCUUUGUCCGGAAUUAUUGGGCGUAAAGGGUUCGCAGGAGGCCUUUUAAGUCAGAUGUGAAAGCCCACGGCUUAACCGUGGUAAGCAUUUGAAACUGGAAGGCUUGAGUUAAGGAGAGGAAAGUGGAAUUCCUAGUGUAGCGGUGAAAUGCGUAGAUAUUAGGAGGAAUACCAGUGGCGAGGGCGACUUUCUGGACUUAUACUGACGCUGAGGAACGAAAGCGUGGGGAGCAAACAG
rnacentral:rRNA from 1 species